rfam:Triticum aestivum genome assembly, contig: Triticum_aestivum_CS42_TGACv1_scaffold_030778_1BL
UAUAUACUCCCUCCGUCCGAAAAUAGUUGUCGCAUAAAUAGAUAAAAUUGGAUGUAUCUAGAAGUAAAAUACGUCUAGAUACAUCUAUUUCCCUGACAAGUAUUUCGGACUUUCGGACGGAGGGAGUAUAUA